rnacentral:rRNA from 1 species
AUUGAACGCUGGCGGCAGGCCUAACACAUGCAAGUCGAGCGGCUGAAGGGAUCUUUCUCCUGGAUUCCGCGUCGCACGCGUGUGUAAUGUCUAUGAAUCUGCCUCGUAGUGGGGGAUAACGUCCGGCAACGGGCGCUAAUAUCGCAUACGCCCUGCGCGAGAAAGUGGGGGAUCUUCUGACCUCACGCUCUCAGAUGAUCCUAGGUCGGAUUAGCUAGUUGGUGGGGUAAAGGCCUACCAAGGCGACGAUCCGUAACUGGUCUGAGAGGAUGAUCGGUCACACUGGAACUGAGACACGGUCCAGACUCCUACGGGAGGCAGCAGUGGGGAAUAUUGGACAAUGGGCGAAAGCCUGAUCCAGCAAUGCCGCGUGUGUGAAGAAGGUCUUCGGAUUGUAAAGCACUUUAAGUUGGGAGGAAAGGCAGUAAGUUAAUACCUUGCUGUUUUGACGGUACCAACAGAAUAAGCACCGGCUAACUUCGUG